rnacentral:lncRNA from 1 species
CUCUUAUCAAGCAUCCUAUUUAGAGGAUGUAAAUUAUCAAUAUCUAAAGCUUCCUAAUAUACAAAUUCUGCUGGAUUGUGUGGAGUUCAGGAGUACAUCGAGGUAUCUACAUAUAUUUGAUUGAUUUGUAUAUUCCUACUACUAAAAGGUUUAAGACUACUUAUUUUGAGUGUGAGAAAUAUGAGAAAACUUAGAUCAAUACGCGAAGGUAACUCUCACAUAGAUAGUGAACCACUAUAAAUGGAAGGAAUAGGGCUUAAUAAUCCCGAACAAUUUUUUUCUCAUAUUAAAAAUUGAUUGUGAUUGAUUUAUGCAUAACAGGAGACUGCAAAAAUGGCUAAAAAGAGGCUCUUACUGUUGGUUUUAAUGCUACUGAUUAUGAGCUCUUGCUUGACAAAAUCCCAGGGGCCAUAUCCACCUCAAAUGGCCGAAAAGCUCAAUCUUGAGCAUGAGGAAGGGCAGCAGAAAACGGUAACGGAAACUUCAUAUCCUGAUUCUGAGGAUGGUCAACCUCACCACCGAUAUCCCGCACCAGCUGCCCUACAUAAGUAAUGAACUCUGGAAGGUGGUGACGAUAUCACUCCAAACCAAAUGUAUAUAACUAGCUUCCGCAAAUGUGUGUGUGUGUGUGUGUGGCGUGCACAUGUAGUGCUUUAAUGAAAUAUGUAUACCAUGAUAUGAUAAAUAAAACUGUGGUUUGGCUGUACAAAAUUGUACUGGAAUGGGACGCGAAGAAAUCAUAUGAAUUGAUAUGUAGUAGAUAUGCAGUUAACGAAAAUCCAAGUUCAGCGGGAGACAGACAUUACAAAAUAGAG